rnacentral:rRNA from 1 species
CCAAGGCUAAAUACUCCUGACUGACCGAUAGUGAACCAGUACCGUGAGGGAAAGGCGAAAAGAACCCCGGCGAGGGGAGUGAAAAAGAACCUGAAACCGUGUACGUACAAGCAGUGGGAGCACGCUUAGGCGUGUGACUGCGUACCUUUUGUAUAAUGGGUCAGCGACUUAUAUUCUGUAGCAAGGUUAACCGAAUAGGGGAGCCGAAGGGAAACCGAGUCUUAACUGGGCGUUAAGUUGCAGGGUAUAGACCCGAAACCCGGUGAUCUAGCCAUGGGCAGGUUGAAGGUUGGGUAACACUAACUGGAGGACCGAACCGACUAAUGUUGAAAAAUUAGCGGAUGACUUGUGGCUGGGGGUGAAAGGCCAAUCAAACCGGGAGAUAGCUGGUUCUCCCCGAAAGCUAUUUAGGUAGCGCCUCGUGAAUUCAUCUCCGGGGGUAGAGCACUGUUUCGGCAAGGGGGUCAUCCCGACUUACCAACCCGAUGCAAACUGCGAAUACCGGAGAAUGUUAUCACGGGAGACACACGGCGGGUGCUAACGUCCGUCGUGAAGAGGGAAACAACCCAGACCGCCAGCUAAGGUCCCAAAGUCAUGGUUAAGUGGGAAACGAUGUGGGAAGGCCCAGACAGCCAGGAUGUUGGCUUAGAAGCAGCCAUCAUUUAAAGAAAGCGUAAUAGCUCACUGGUCGAGUCGGCCUGCGCGGAAGAUGUAACGGGGCUAAACCAUG